rnacentral:rRNA from 1 species
UACGGAGGGUGCAAACGUUGCUCGGAAUCAUUGGGCGUAAGGCGCACGUAGGCGGCCUGUUAAGUCGGGUGUGAAAGCCCUGGGCUCAACCCAGGAAGUGCACUCGAAACUGGCGGGCUUGAAUAUGGAAGAGGGUCGCGGAAUUCCCGGUGUAGAGGUGAAAUUCGUAGAUAUCGGGAGGAACACCGAUGGCGAAGGCAGGUCUCUGGGCUGUAACUGACGCUGAGGAGCGAAAGCAUGGGGAGCGAACAGG